rnacentral:rRNA from 1 species
GAUGAACGCUGACAGAAUGCUUAACACAUGCAAGUCGAUGGGGAAGUGGUGCUUGCACCAUGGCAACCCUGGCGGACGGGUGAGUAACGCGUAAGGGACUUACCUGCAGGACUGGGAUAACAGGGGGAAACUCCUGACAAGACCGGAUAAUGUCAUGGAGCUGCAUGGCUUUAUGAUGAAAGGAGACGCCUGCGGAGAGCCUUGCGUCCUAUUAGCUAGUUGGUGAGGUAAUGGCUCACCAAGGCGAAGAUAGGUAGCCGGCCUGAGAGGGUGGACGGCCACAAGGGGACUGAGAUACGGCCCUUACUCCUACGGGAGGCAGCAGUGGGGAAUAUUGGACAAUGGGGGCAACCCUGAUCCAGCAAUUCUGUGUGCACGAAGAAGGUUUUCGGAUUGUGAAGUGCUUUCAGCAGGGAAGAAGUAAGUGACGGUACCUGCAGAAGAAGCGACGGCUAAAUACGUG